UGGCAGUACUUUUGGUCUGCUCCCUCUACUACCGUGGGAAUGUUGAUGAAGGCCACCAUAUGCCGAAUCAUGCCUUCUCCAAGGCUCCCUAGCUGGGGAACGAGGAGGUUGCGCCCUGCUGCGCUGAUACUGUGGUGGCCUCUGAUGAGGCUGGUAAGCAGUUACCCGACCUCCUGCUCCACUACCCGAGGCCUGGUGGUCCCUCCUCCUGAUCGGGCCAUUCCCCGGUAAUGCUUUCUUCUCUUUCCUCCCCAACCCUUCUAACUGGUCUGUCUUAAUCCGUGCUGCCUUCUCCUCUUCAAUCUCAAUGUCUCUCUUAGCCUGCUCGUAUGCGGCCGCGUACGUCUGAAUAACUGGGCUUCUCAAGUUGUACCACAGCCUUCCUAUCUUCACCCCUCUUUCAAUCCCCUUAACGCCUGAGGGUGGUUGAAGGCUCCCAAGUCGAGGACAGCACGAUGAAACCUCUUGAUGAAUUCCCGAAGGGUUUCUUGCUCCCCCUGUUUCAUGCUUUUCAGCUCCAUCAUGUCAUCUUCUGGUGCCAUUGCCCCACUAAACUGCUCUGCAAAUUCCUGGCACAUCUGCUCGAAGGUUUUAAUGCUGCCCCGAGGAAGUUUCCUGUACCACUCUCGUACACGUCCCUCAAGGGAUAGUGGGAACACCCUGCACCUUUGGGAUUGAGAUAAUCCUUGUACCCCAGUUAUGUCGUUGAAGCGCU
rnacentral:lncRNA from 1 species